rnacentral:rRNA from 1 species
AGGGAAUCUUCGGCAAUGGACGGAAGUCUGACCGAGCAACGCCGCGUGAGUGAAGAAGGUUUUCGGAUCGUAAAGCUCUGUUGUAAGAGAAGAACGAGUGUGAGAGUGGAAAGUUUACACUGUGACGGUAUCUUACCAGAAAGGGACGGCUAACUACGUGCCAGCAGCCGCGGUAAUACGUAGGUCCCGAGCGUUGUCCGGAUUUAUUGGGCGUAAAGCGAGCGCAGGCGGUUAGAUAAGUCUGAAGUUAAAGGCUGUGGCUUAACCAUAGUACGCUUUGGAAACUGUUUAACUUGAGUGCAAGAGGGGAGAGUGGAAUUCCAUGUGUAGCGGUGAAAUGCGUAGAUAUAUGGAGGAACACCGGUGGCGAAAGCGGCUCUCUGGCUUGUAACUGACGCUGAGGCUCGAAAGCGUGGGGAGCAAACAGGAUUAGAUACCCUGGUAGUCCACGCCGUAAACGAUGAGUGCUAGGUGUUAGACCCUUUCCGGGGUUUAGUGCCGUAGCUAACGCAUUAAGCACUCCGCCUGGGGAGUACGACCGCAAGGUUG